rnacentral:sRNA from 1 species
AUCUGAAGCCUGAAGAGGAUGAGAACCUCCGGGGGCAAGAGGUUCGACUCGAGCGAAGCGAGAGAACGUUGCGUCAGCAACGGCCCGCAGAGCGCCUCUAUUGCCGGGCGGUCGACGCUCGCACCACCA